rnacentral:rRNA from 1 species
UACGAAGGGGGCUAGCGUUGUUCGGAAUUACUGGGCGUAAAGCGCGCGUAGGCGGUGAUCUUUGUCAGAGGUGAAAGCCCGGGGCUCAACUCCGGAAUUGCCUUUGAAACGGGAUCGCUAGAGUCCGAGAGAGGAUGGCGGAAUUCCUAGUGUAGAGGUGAAAUUCGUAGAUAUUGGGAGGAACACCAGUGGCGAAGGCGGCUACCUGGACCGGUUCUGACGCUGAUGCGCGAAAGCGUGGGUAGCAAACAGG